GACUUCAGGUGGUGUCCCAUUGGAAAUGGAAUCGUGCUGCCCUUUGACUCCAUGGGUCAGGUUGCUGAGAUGGAUAUUUUCCAGUAAGGCCAUCUACUUCAGCUGAAAACUUACUGCUUUUUUAGGAGUUGCAUUUUUUGGCAGGACAAUGGCAUUUCCCACAGAAAGCAAACUACAGUACCACGCACAGUCCCACGUCUCAUGAGAAGAACCAGGAGAGAUUGCUACAGACGCUGGGAGUUGCUUUACUGACAUCACUGGGAGUUUUGCCACUGAUUUCAGCAGAGUUAUGAUUUCAAACGGGACUCGGCUGCCAUUGGACUCGUGAUUUAAUUAGAUGACUCUUUACUAA